CUAAAGCCUCUUAAAAUCUUCUAAGACCUCCUAUGACCUUCUAGAACUUUCUUAGAAUCUAUUAGAACCUUUUGAAACCUUUUGAAACCUCCUAAAACCUUCAAUUGCCUUCUUAGAAUCUACUAGUAUCAUUUAGAACCUUUUAGAAUCUUUUAGAACUUUUUGGAAUCUUCUUCAAUUAUAUGUCCAUGACUUUACCUCUUCUUCUAGCUUUGAGGUCUCCAAGAAACAAUGUUGUAGUAAGGUAGUAUAUGUACAAGAAGUUGAAGAUUUGUCAUAUCAUAUCCACUAUAUAUUCCAGUUAUUUUUUGUGAGGUGAAUAAUUUAUAGGCCCUUGUAGCCAUCGAUAGUACUCUAAGUCUUCUACUUGUGAUCAAGCAUGAACUUCAGUAUUUUCAU
rnacentral:lncRNA from 1 species